rnacentral:rRNA from 1 species
GCAGAGCAUCCUACGGGAGGCAGCAGUGGGGAAUAUUGCACAAUGGGCGCAAGCCUGAUGCAGCCAUGCCGCGUGUAUGAAGAAGGCCUUCGGGUUGUAAAGUACUUUCAGCAGUGAGGAAGGUGGAUAUGUUAAUAGCAUAUUCAUUUGACGUUAGCUGCAGAAGAAGCACCGGCUAACUCCGUGCCAGCAGCCGCGGUAAUACGGAGGGUGCGAGCGUUAAUCGGAAUUACUGGGCGUAAAGCGCAUGCAGGUGGUUUGUUAAGUCAGAUGUGAAAGCCCGGGGCUCAACCUCGGAAUUGCAUUUGAAACUGGCAAACUAGAGUACUGUAGAGGGGGUAGAAUUUCAGGUGUAGCGGUGAAAAUGCGUAGAGAUCUGAAGGAAUACCGGUGGCGAAGGCGGCCCCCUGGACAGAUACUGACACUCAGAUGCGAAAGCGUGGGGAGCAAACAGGAUUAGAUACCCUGGUAG